GUUCCGUCUUACAAUAUCAAUCCAUUGUUGAUUAGUUCCUCAUGUCUUGUUGGCUUAAGUUUUUUUGUUUUGAGCUCUGCGAGGCAUAUAUUAUUAUGACUGUUGAGUUGGUAUUGACGACAUCGCUACCUUUGAGCUAACUCAUUGCUUCUUAUAGCCCUUGAUUUGGGUUGAUCCGAAAACUGCAUAGGCUAGGUUUGUUGGCUUCAAUGCAGGUUGUAUGUUGGUUUGGCAAUGUUUGCUGGUGUGCAUGUAGGAUUUGCAGCAUGUCCGUGAUGACCAAAACUGAGAUGUCGAGAGUCCUGAUUUUGCCAGGUUGUUUUCUACAGCAUAUGAUGGUCUCAAUGAGGUUUUAUACUUAUUAACUAUGUUCUGCCUGGGAUCAUACAUUGCAAACGUGUUCGUAGAGCCUCCCAAAUGUCUCUGCUGCUCAAGAAAAGUCACAACUAGUUGCACCAGCUGUUCUGGUUGUAGGGAUCCCACAGGGGUUGGAGGAUCAAAAUCUCAUUUCCUGAUGUGAUGACAUGUUGUUACUGCCAAAUGGUAUACCAGAAUUUCCGCUGGAAUGUUGAGUCGAAUUUAUUCAUAUUGGGUGACGCUCCUCAGCAGUAGGUUCAACAACACCGCUAAAUAGAUGUGAAGACAAAGCUCUGUUUGAAGUUAUGCGGAUUGUUAGGAAGUCGGUUUGGCCCUGAUAUCCGUGGCUGGAUUGACAAAGAAAACAUUCCAGGAUUGCUGUCAUGGAUACAAGUACAUGGUCGAUGAAGAUUGCGUGUCAUAGGGUUUUUACAAACUCCAGUCGGUCUGAUGCGAAUGGUCAAAUAGAGUUCGGAUAAAAGCUUGGAGUUUUCUUGAAAUCUGUCAUUUUAAGUUCAAAAGACAGCUGAGGAUUUUGCUUCACUUCUUGUAAUGAAUUUACCUUAACAAUUGUAUGAUAUGGCUCGACUGAGUAACUGUAUUAAAGGUUAAUAUGUAAACAGCCUGAUAUAACAGGAUUCUAACUUUGAAAUGUGAACUUUUCUUCUUUGAACUCUUAA